UACGUAGGUGGCAAGCGUUGUCCGGAAUUAUUGGGCGUAAAGCGCGCGCAGGUGGUUUCUUAAGUCUGAUGUGAAAGCCCGCGGCUCAACCGUGGAGGGUCAGUUGGAAACUGGGGAACUUGAGUGCAGAAGAGGAAAGUGGAAUUCCAAGUGUAGCGGUGAAAUGCGUAGAGAUUUGGAGGAACACCAGUGGCGAAGGCGACUUUCUGGUCUGUAACUGACACUGAGGCGCGAAAGCGUGGGGAGCAAACAGG
rnacentral:rRNA from 1 species